rnacentral:rRNA from 1 species
AGGGGAUCAGUGGCGAACGGGUGAGUAACACGUGAGUAACCUGCCCCGGACUCUGGAAUAAGCGCUGGAAACGGCGUCUAAUACCGGAUACGAGACGCAACCGCAUGGUUAGCGUCUGGAAAGUUUUUCGGUCUGGGAUGGACUCGCGGCCUAUCAGCUUGUUGGUGAGGUAAUGGCUCACCAAGGCGACGACGGGUAGCCGGCCUGAGAGGGCGACCGGCCACACUGGGACUGAGACACGGCCCAGACUCCUACGGGAGGCAGCAGUGGGGAAUAUUGCACAAUGGGCGAAAGCCUGAUGCAGCGACGCCGCGUGAGGGAUGACGGCCUUCGGGUUGUAAACCUCUUUCAGCAGGGAAGAAGCGAAAGUGACGGUACCUGCAGAAGAAGCACCGGCUAACUACGUGCCAGCAGCCGCGGUAAUACGUAGGGUGCGAGCGUUGUCCGGAAUUAUUGGGCGUAAAGAGCUUGUAGGCGGUUUGUCGCGUCUGCUGUGAAAAUCCGGGGCUCAACCCCGGACUUGCAGUGGGUACGGGCAGACUAGAGUGUGGUAGGGGAGACUGGAAUUCCUGGUGUAGCGGUGAAAUGCGCAGAUAUCAGGAGGAACACCGAUGGCGAAGGCAGGUCUCUGGGCCACUACUGACGCUGAGAAGCGAAAGCAUGGGGAGCGAACAGGAUUAGAUACCCUG